UGGGGAAUAUUGGACAAUGGGGGAAACCCUGAUCCAGCAAUGCCGCGUGAGUGAUGAAGGCCUUAGGGUUGUAAAGCUCUUUUACCCGGGAUGAUAAUGACAGUACCGGGAGAAUAAGCCCCGGCUAACUCCGUGCCAGCAGCCGCGGUAAUACGGAGGGGGCUAGCGUUGUUCGGAAUUACUGGGCGUAAAGCGCACGUAGGCGGCUUUGUAAGUUAGAGGUGAAAGCCCGGGGCUCAACUCCGGAAUUGCCUUUAAGACUGCAUCGCUCGAAUUGUGGAGAGGUAAGUGGAAUUCCGAGUGUAGAGGUGAAAUUCGUAGAUAUUCGGAAGAACACCAGUGGCGAAGGCGACUUACUGGACACAUAUUGACGCUGAGGUGCGAAAGCGUGGGGAGCAAACA
rnacentral:rRNA from 1 species